ACGACCGCGGAAUACGAGUUUCGAUGAUUGAUCAGCAACGACAACGUAACUACAACUUCCAAGAACCAUUAGUUACAAGACACGAUUUCUUAUGAAAUUAUUGUUGGCGUGUUUUUGUUUUUGGUACCACAAAUGGGCACAGAUGAUCGUGAUAUGUCGUCACAUUAUAGUACUGGAGUUGUUGUUUCCAUUAUUAUGCCUGUUCAUAAUGGUGAGCCUUGGUUAACAGAAUGCCUAGAGUCUGUCAUAUCACAGACUUUCAACGGAUCUAUGGAGCUGUCUGUCUACAAUGAUGCAAGCACUGUAGGUACCCAUACUUACUUUUUGUCUCGCCUGCAUAGCAGAGCGAGACUAUAGGCGCCGCUUUUCCGACGGCGGCGACGGCAUCAACAUCAAAUCUUAACCUAAGGUUAAGUUUUUGAAAUGACAUCAUAACUUAAAAAGUAUAUGGACCAAGGUCAAAGGUCAUUUAGGGUAAAUGAAGUUUGGUCAAGUUGGGGGUAUUUGUUGAAUUACUAUCAUAACUUUGAAAAUUUAUGGAUCUAGUUUAUGAAACUUGGACAUUAGGUUAAUCAAGUACCACUGAAUAUCCUGUGCGAGUUUCAGGUCACAUGACCACGGUCAAAGGUCAUUUAGGGUCAAUGAACUUUGGCCAAAUUGUGGGGGUAUUUGUUGAAUUACCAUCCUAACUUUGAAAAUUUAUGGAUCUAGUUCAUGAAACUUGGACAUUAGGUUAAUCAAGUAUCACUGAACAUCCCCUGUGAGUUUCAGGUCACAUGACCAUGGUCAAUGGUCAUUUAAGGUCAAUGAACUUUGGCCAUGUUGGGGGUAUAAAAUUACCAUCCUAACUCUGAAAGUUUAUGGAUCUAGUUCAUAAAACUUGGAAUUUCAGAGUAAUCAAGUAUCACUGAACAUCCCCUGUGAGUUUCAGGUCAGAAAACCAAGGUCAAAGGUCAGUUAAGGUCAAUAAACUUUUGCCAUGUUUGGGUAAUUGUUGAAUUGCCAUCAUAACUUUGAAAGUUUAUGGAUAGAGUGAAUGAAAUGUGGACAUGGGUGUAGUUGACAAGUCUUAGGUCACCGUUUAAAUGUCAUUUAUGGUCAAUGAACGUGGUAUUAUGUCAUUAUAUGAAUGGUGUUUUUGUGAAUGAUUAUUUUAUAGUAGUUUUCAAAGUUAGCACUGCUGCUAUAUUAAAUUGCGUAAUGCAGGCGAAACUGCCAGAGGCGUUCAACUUUUUCAUUUAAUUGGCAGAAUUUCCAUCAUGCAAACCAUGAGUGGAUUUGGAAAUUAUGUGACAAGGAAAUAUGAAAUGUAGGGGCAAUGUGGAUUCUGUGUAGAUGGAUUGCAUUUUUUUAAGAAGCAUGAAAUCAAUAAUGGUAUUUUAUUUAUCGAAAUCUCAAGCAAGCAGAUACAAAAUUAUUUACACAGUAAUAUAUAAAUUUAUCAAAAUGCAUAACAUUAUUACUAUAGCAGAAAUUUUGAAUUGUAGUAACAAUGUCUACACAAUAGAUGGCCUCUAUCAAAUUCAAAAUACAUAUCAUUAUGAUUGAAUAUUGUCAACAGAAUACUGUAUGCACUUUACAGAAGAACAGUUAACAGAGAGGGGAAAAAACAAAGGAAUGACCAAGACAUUGAGAUUCAGAAAAAAAGGGGAGUCUGAGGAGAGUGUGAGAGAGCAGGUGAAAUUAAAUAAAUCGAAGCAAAAAGAGUAGUCGGGUAUACAAGGUAUAAACUGACGGAUAAUCUCCUAUCAAAAUGUCAGCCUGUUUAAAAAUCUUUAAAUCAUCACCAUUUGAUUAUUUAGUUAUUAGAUGAUCAACUACUCUUGUUUUUCUGAGAAAGAGAUCAUUCCCUAAAAACGAAUACUGGUAACCAGUAGUAGCCAUGGUUUAGAGAUUUCUUAGAACAAGUUGGUAUUCGAGUAGAUUGUCUUCAACGUUUGGGCAUUUCACACUUUUUAAAGACCAUUUCAGAAGGGAACAGUUAGUAAGUAUGCAUAUAUUGCUAAUACCCUAUUCACAUUCAUUUGGCAGAACCGGUUCUUACUGGACAAAAAUAAUGAACCUGGGGAGCAUUUCAUGAAAGGACUUGUCAUACGUUUUAUUCAACAAGUACCAUUUUAU